UCCAGUUGAUCCUGCUGGCGGCUGCGGCUCUCUGGUUUGCACUUAGACAUGCAAGUUGUUUCUCUUAGAAAUAGGAGGAAAGCGAACUGCUCAGUAACACGUAGCUAACCUACACUUAGGUCAAGGAUAACCUCGGGAAACUGAGGCUAAACCCUGAUAAAUGUGAGACCCUGGAAAGAACUCACAUUCAAACUCGCGCCUAAGGAUGGGGCUGCGGCGGAUUAGGUAGUUGGCGGGGUAAUAGCCCACCAAGCCUGUGAUCCGUAAGGGCUCUUAGCGGAGAGGCCCUGAGAGGGAAUCUGAGACACUAUUCCCAGCCCUACGGGGUGCAGCAGUUAGGAAUCAUCUGCAAUGCGCGAAAGCGUGACAGUUUGAACCAGAGUGCUUCUCAAUUGAGAAGCUUUUGCCAAAUGUAAAAAGUUUGGCGAAUAAGGACUGGGUAAGACGAGUGCCAGCCGCCGCGGUAAUACUCGCGGUCCAAGUCGCAGCCACAAUUAUUGGGUCUAAAACAUCCGUAGCUUGUCUGGUAAGUUCCUUGUGAAAUCUUAUCUCUUGAAGAUGAGGCGUGCGAGGAAUACUGCCAGACUAGAGACCGGUAGACGCAGGAAGUAUGUUCGAAGUAGCGGUAAAAUGCUUUAAUCUCGGACAGACUCACAACAGCGAAGGCAUCCUGCGAGAACGGUUCUGACUGUCAGGGAUGAAGGCUAGGGGCGCAAAGUGGAUUAGAUACCCAUGUAGUCCUAGCAGUAAACACUGCACACUAAACAUCAGUACCUCCUCGAGAGGCAUUGGUGCUGCAGCGAAGGCGAAGAGUGUGCUACCUGGGAAGUAUAGUCGCAAGGCCGAAACUUAAAGGAAUAGGCGGGGAGACACUACAACGGGUGACGCGUGCGGUUCAAUUAGAUUCUACACCGUGAACCUCACCAGGACCGACAGCAGAAUGAAGGUCAGUCUGAAGGGCUUACCUGACACGCUGAGAGGAGUUGCAUGGCCGACGUAAGCCUGUGUCGUGAGAUGACCUGUUAAAUCAGGUAACAGGCGAGACCCACAUGUAUAUUUACUACGUGUACAAUAUACAGAUUGCCUCGGUAACGUGGAUGAAAGCGUGGGCAACGUUAGGUGAGUACAGCCUGAAUGCCCUGGGCGACACGCGCGCGUCAAUGGUGGAUACAGUGGGAUGCGACUCCGAAAGGAGAAGCUAAUCUCUUAAAGUCCAUCUCAGUCCAGAUUGAAGCUUGCAAUUCAGCUUCAUGACGCUGGAAUCCGUAGUAAUCGUUUGUUAGCAGCGAACGGUGAAUACGUCACUGUCUCUUGCACUCACUGCCCGUCAAACCAACCAAGUUGUGUUAUGGUGAAACCAGUUUUGGGAGAACCUUAGCAUGGUGAGGUAGGUUAAGUCGUCACAAGGUAUCUGUAGGGGAACCUGCAGAUG
rnacentral:rRNA from 1 species